UACGUAGGUGGCGAGCGUUGUCCGGAUUUACUGGGCGUAAAGCGCGCGCAGGCGGUUCGUUAAGUCCGGUGUGAAAGCUCCCGGCUCAACUGGGAGAGGUCAUUGGAUACUGGCGGGCUCGAGGGAUGCAGAGGAAGGUGGAAUUCCCGGUGUAGUGGUGAAAUGCGUAGAGAUCGGGAGGAACACCAGUGGCGAAGGCGGCCUUCUGGGCAUUUCCUGACGCUGAGGCGCGAAAGCGUGGGGAGCGAACCGG
rnacentral:rRNA from 1 species